AUUCUUUUUCAGGCAGUUCAUAGAUCUUUAUUUCUUUGAAGUCAUUUGCUGGAAUAUUAAUUGUGAUUGUUUGGUGGUGCCAUACUUCCUUGAUUUUGUGGUGGUGUUUGAAGUCUUAUGUUGCUGUCUUCACAUCUGAAGAAACAGUCACAUCCUUCAGUCUAUUUACUGACUUUGGGAAAAUAAUGCAGUAAUAUAAAUUGCAAUGUCUUCUGUGGCCAUGGAAGAUUUAACAAGCCUUCAGCUUCCUCAUUUGUAGAAUUAGACCACCAGUUAUGAUUUGGACCUGACAAGAAAUGGAAUAUGCUAACCCCAAGUGUCGCCCAGUCAUUUCCCAUGGACAUACCAGAUACUGCCAAAUUUUACCUUUUACUUAUUUGCCAUUAAUCUAUGGAUUACCUGCUUUGUGGUAGUGGUGAUGCAGUGGUGCCUAAGGAUAUGGGAUAAGUUCUGCAGAAGCAUACAGUAGGAACAGAGCAAAGAGAUAAAGAGGAUCCUACAAAUUAACCAUAGAAUAUGAGAGAAAUGCCUGAGGGUCAGAUGGCAUUAAGAAUGAGGUAUAUGGAAGAAAUGUUCACCUGGGACAGAGAGAUACUCUGAUAGGUGAAGAAAAUCAAUCACAAGCAAGCUUUUGAGUUCGGAUCCUUUUUGUAUUGCACAUGACCUGGAGUGGGUCCCAGCUUCGUCACUUCUGUGAAAGAGCCAGCAACAGAAGCAGCAGUUCAGAUCAUCUAGUGCUGGAGCUGAGGGGGACUUACAUCAUUUCAGAAUGCUUCAGCUGUCCUCAAAUGAGAAUCACUCCCUGUCGCUAAAAGAAUACUCGUCAAGACUUCGGAUGUAAAGCUGAUCUCUCAGAUGAGUCCAAAUCCUUCCAGAGUAGAGCUAUUCCUCUUCUGGACUUAAACAGCAGGGAUGACAAAGUGAUAUUUAAUUCCAUGUUUUCUUUGGGGUGUUACUAGGGUACCAGGGCUUCUAGUGAUUUGCUCCUGCUGACCAUCAAGAGGUUGUUGUAUCCACCUUGCCAGUUGUUGAUGGCCCCCAAAGUGUGUCGUACAGCCAUGGAAAACCUACUACUCCCACUAGCAGUGCCCUAGGCCAGAUAAUUGUUCUCUGGCCUUUCUCUUGAGGUUGGAGAGAACCUCAUUACUGAGAAAGUUUGCUCCAUGGUAUCAGCUAUUAGAGACCUAAAAAGGUAACCCCCUUAUUUUGGUUUGCUAUCCCUGCUACUGAGGC
rnacentral:lncRNA from 13 species